GUCUCCAAAUGCAAGGAGCUGGGGCCCCAAUGGGAAGGAGAUGUUGUGUCCCCACUGUCCCCAUGUGGCCUGCCUGCCUCAAGGGCAAUCCAAAGAGCCAAAGAGCAGCCAGGAGGAAAUCCUUGGGUGCCAGGAAUGGGUUCUGCCUUGCCAAAUAGAUGGCAGAGACUCUGAUAUGGGAGCCUGGCUGCAUGGCUGUGUGUCCCUCACUGGAGCCCCAGGACAAUAGGGUACAGGGGCAGGGGCACCUCAGUGGGUCACAUAGCCUCAGCACCUCCCUGGUGCAUGGGGUGUGAGCCAGUGAGCAGGAUUCUAGAGCCUCCGGGAAUGCUCUGGGACCUUGGGCAUGGAUGCAGCUGUGGGCCGUGUGGGUGCUGGUGGAGACACUCAUGCAUGCUUGGUUGCAGAGUUUCCCUGACUUGGGCCAGGAUGGAGUCCUCCCCUGCUCCCCUAUUUAUGUGUGUAUUUAAGCAGGUUUGUCCCCCCAGGCCCUCCCCAGAGCUGCUGAACCACAGAUGUCUGGGUCACCACAGUGGACCAGGAUUCCAGGAUGCCUUGGGGUCUACCCAGACUUUGGAGAGAUUUACACAGGGGGCCAGCAGAUUUUUUGUCACAUCCACCUCAAAGGGUCCUAGAGGAAUGAGAGCUGCAGAACUCUCGGAUGUAUGAAGAAACUGGAGAUGAGAAUGCCUUGGCUAUUUGUCUUCUGUUAUGGUUUAUAUCUAGAUGCCCACCCCCCAAGCCUCAUGUGCUCAGGCAGACCUUUUGGAAGGUGACUGGAUCAGGCAGGGUACUAUACUUGUAGGUGGAUUAAUCCACUGAUGUGUUUAUAGCUAAACGUGCUGUUAGGAGGUGGGGUCUGGUUGGA
rnacentral:lncRNA from 1 species